rnacentral:rRNA from 1 species
UGCAGUCGAGCGGCAGCACAGAGAAACUUGUUUCUCGGGUGGCGAGCCGCGUUCGGGUGAGUAAUGCCUGGGAAAUUGCCCUGAUGUGGGCGUUAACCAUUGGAAACGAUGGCUAAUACCGCAUGAUGCCUACGGGCCAAAGAGGGGGACCUUCGGGCCUCUCGUGUCAGGAUAUGCCCAGGUGGGAUUAGCUAGUUGGUGAGGUAAGGGCUCACCAAGGCGACGAUCCCUAGCUGGUCUGAGAGGAUGAUCAGCCACACUGGAACUGAGACACGGUCCAGACUCCUACGGGAGGCAGCAGUGGGGAAUAUUGCACAAUGGGCGCAAGCCUGAUGCAGCCAUGCCGCGUGUGUGAAGAAGGCCUUCGGGUUGUAAAGCACUUUCAGUAGGGAGGAAGGUGGUAGUGUUAAUAGCGCUAUCAUUUGACGUUACCUACAGAAGAAGCACCGGCUAACUCCGUGCCAGCAGCCGCGGUAAUACGGAGGGUGCGAGCGUUAAUCGGAAUUACUGGGCGUAAAGCGCAUGCAGGUGGUUUGUUAAGUCAGAUGUGAAAGCCCCGGGCUCAACCUGGGAAUUGCAUUUGAAACUGGCAAACUAGAGUACUGUAGAGGGGGGUAGAAUUUCAGGUGUAGCGGUGAAAUGCGUAGAGAUCUGAAGGAAUACCGGUGGCGAAGGCGCGCCCCUGGACAGAUACUGACACUCAGAUGCGAAAGCGUGGGGAGC